CUGAUGAUCGGAACAUGAGGAAAAGGAACCUCCAGACUGAUUUCCAGAAUGGUUGUACCAGUCAGCACCGCAUCACCAAAACCCAGAAACGAGCACUAACCAGGGAACUAGCGGCAGACGUCACUGGACCUGAGCUAUGAAGACGUUCGGCCACUGCUGGCAGUGAGGAGCCAUUUGCUCUCAAUUUUUCCUUGGAGGUGGCAAGCUCUAGGCAGCUCGUGAUCAACAGACAUGUAUGGGGCCUGUGUGCUAUCUGUGGUAACCCAGCGUGACUUCGAAGGCCUCGAGUCUGGAGGAACAGCUGCAGGGAACAGCAGCCACGGGGCCCCCGAGGCACGGGGGUCGGGGACGCCCGGGACUCCCGCAGUGCGGCGGCCGCCAG
ensembl:lncRNA